rnacentral:rRNA from 1 species
AUUGAACGCUGGCGGAAUGCUUUACACAUGCAAGUCGAACGGCAGCACGGGGGCAGCCCUGGUUGCGAGUGGCGAACGGGUGAGUAAUACAUCGGAACGUGCCCGGUCGUGGGGGAUAACGUAGCGAAAGUUACGCUAAUACCGCAUACGAUCUGCGGAUGAAAGCGGGGGACCUUCGGGCCUCGCGCGAUCGGAGCGGCCGAUGUCAGAUUAGGUAGUUGGUGGGGUAAAGGCCUACCAAGCCGACGAUCUGUAGCUGGUCUGAGAGGACGACCAGCCACACUGGGACUGGGACACGGCCCAGACUCCUACGGGAGGCAGCAGUGGGGAAUUUUGGACAAUGGGCGCAAGCCUGAUCCAGCCAUUCCGCGUGCAGGACGAAGGCCUUCGGGUUGUAAACUGCUUUUGUACGGAACGAAAAGGCUCUGGCUAAUACCUGGGGCUCAUGACGGUACCGUAAGAAUAAGCACCGGCUAACUACGUG